rnacentral:misc_RNA from 1 species
GAUGAAGAACGCAGCGAAAUGCGAUAAGUAAUGUGAAUUGCAGAAUUCAGUGAAUCAACGAAUCUUUGAACGCACAUUGCGCCCGCCAGUAUUCUGGCGGGCAUGUCUGUUCGAGCGUCAUUUCAACCAUCAAGCCCCCGGCUUGUGUUGGGGACCUGCGGCUGCCGCAGGCCCUGAAAAGCAGUGGCGGGCUCGCUGUCACACCGAGCGUAGUAGCAUACAUCUCGCUCUGGGCGUGCUGCGGGUUCCGGCCGUUAAACCACCUUCAUAACCCAAGGUUGACCUCGGAUCAGGUAGGAAGACCCGCUGAACUUAAGCAUAUCAAUAAGCGGAGGA